rnacentral:rRNA from 1 species
UGGGAAUAUUGCACAAUGGGGGAAACCCGUGAUGCAGCGAUGCCGCGUGGAGGAAGAAGGUUUUCGGAUUGUAAACUCCUGUCUUAAAGGACGAAUAGAUGACGGUACUUUAGGAGGAAGCUCCGGCUAACUACGUGCCAGCAGCCGCGGUAAUACGUAGGGAGCGAGCGUUGUCCGGAAUUACUGGGUGUAAAGGGAGCGUAGGCGGGAUUGCAAGUCAGAUGUGAAAACUAUGGGCUUAACCCAUAGACUGCAUUUGAAACUGUAGUUCUUGAGUGAAGUAGAGGUAAGCGGAAUUCCUGGUGUAGCGGUGAAAUGCGUAGAUAUCAGGAGGAACAUCGGUGGCGAAGGCGGCUUACUGGGCUUUUACUGACGCUGAGGCUCGAAAGCGUGGGGGAGC